rnacentral:rRNA from 1 species
GGCUUCUUGGGGCCUAUGGGAAGUCUGACCUGCCCAGUGAUAUUAUUUUUAACGGCCGCGGUAUUUUGACCGUGCAAAGGUAGCAUAAUCAUUAGUCUUUUAAUAGGGGGCUGGUAUGAAUGGUUUGACGAGGUGUUAGCUGUCUCAUUUAAUUAUAUAUAAUUUAAUUUUUUAGUUAAAACGCUAAAAUUUUUUUGGUAGACGAGAAGACCCUAUAGAGCUUUAUAUUACAUGGCUUUAUUACUUUUGGCUAUAAUAUUUUUUUAAUGCUUGGUUUUAUUUUGUUGGGGUGACAGAAAUUAUAUGAUUAACUUUUUUGUUUACUUUACAUUGAUAGGUGGAUUCUUUGAUCCGAUAUUUGUCGAUUAUUAGACUAAGUUACCUUAGGGAUAACAGCGUAAUCUUCCUCCAGAGUUCAAAUUUACAGGGAGGCUUGCGACCUCGAUGUUGGAUUAAGAUAAUGGUUGGGUGUAGCCGCUCAAUUUAUAGGUCUGUUCGACCUUUUAUUUCUUACAUGAUCUGAGUUCAAACCGG